AUGAGGAAGAGAAAGUAAAAAGAGUGUGGUAAAGAUUACAUAACUCUGCAACUCCUUGUUCUUUAGUCGCCAUUAAAACAUGCGGUUUAUUGUGUUGAUGCAUGCAUAUGUGUACAUUAUUCAUUGAACCUAUCUAUAGAUCGUGUGUAUAUGGCGCUAAGUGUAUGCAUUGUUUGGAAUAGGCUACCACACUUAAAUCUGUCCUGUGCUCUUCUCCCGUGUUGUAAACACAGGCUCUGGGCCAGAGAGAUAGUGGUCUCUCUGUGCCGGCAUGCAUCUGGUAUGUAAAUGACACACGGUGCCGAGCAGCAGCUAAACGCUGACACAAGAAGUACUGGAGCUUAGCGUUCCUGGUGCCACAGGCCCAAGUAGAGACUAGAGCUCUGAUCCCCCGUGAGAGACACACCGCUGGCUGGACGUCACGCGGACCAAAGGUCAUGAGUCCCACACGCAAUUAAGAGCCUGACCGUGAGACGCGGUAAUGGAGCUGUGAAGGGACUUCAGCAUUAGAUCUCAGACCUGUGGUUGGUCCCAGUGCAUUGGACACUGUACUUUACUAUGUAUACUGUAUUCAAUACUUUGUCCCUGUUAUAAAUGAGCGACUUUGUCUCCCUAUUAAAAACGAUGUUGCACUGAUGCUAUAAUUGUUUGAGAUUUCUCGUAAAGGGGAAGGAAAUGAGUGAACUAUUUUAUCUUGGCACCGCUGCUGUGAGGCCAAACGAGCAGCCAUGCUUGUCAAGUGAUCGGCUCUAAUGACACCACAUGUUGACAUCAGGCCUCGGAGACCCUCUGAGAACGGCCCACAGCUCUCCCUCCACACCUGUUCUCUCAUGGGACCCAUCACCCGCCUGUCAUGUGGUUUGUGUUGUUCUGCGAAACGGGAAAAACACGUAUGAUAAACGUACGAAAUGAGUAUUGACUGUUGACAUAUUUAACAUCUGCUUGAUGUUGAUAAUUAUUCAAAUCUUCUGUUCAGAAGGCAGAAAAAGACGGAGCUUGACAUAGCUGUUUAGAAUCAGACGAUAAGAGCAAAGACACAUUUUUAACGGCAUGCAUUUGCAGGCCCUGUCGUUGCAGGAGUUGUUCAACGUACGGUGUGGAGAAUUUAUGAUCAGACGGAUGCCGGUAAUAAGCUGUGACUCCUGCCACCGUGCAGGUGAUUGAUAGACGAGAGGAAGGACGGCAGUGAGACGGUCCGGAGGGGGGGAGUGCUCCUGUAUCCGCGACCUUUGAGAAAUCUCACACUGGUGUAACGUGGAAGGAUCUCACCUAAGAACAAGAAUUCGGUUUUUCUGCGUAAUGUGGUAGAUUUGGAUUUGGAAGAACACGCUCCCCGCUGUGUAGGUGAGCAGCGCUGGGGUGCAAACCAAACCCGAUUAAAGCCAGCGGAGGUGUGUGUGUGUGUGUGUGUGUGUGUGUGUG